rnacentral:snRNA from 1 species
AUACUUACCUGGAUGGGGUCGACGGCUGAUCAAGAAGAGUCGUGGCCUAGGCCAGUGGUCCACAUUGCACUUCGUGGAUGCGCUGGCCUACCAUCUCCCCAAGUGGGAGAGUGGACGUCGUAAUUUGUGGUAGAGGGGGUACGCGUUCGCGCGGCCCCUGC